rnacentral:tRNA from 9 species
GCCCAGGUGGCGGAAUUGGUAGACGCGCUGGUCUCAAACACCAGUGGGGCAACCCGUGCCGGUUCGAUCCCGGCCCUGGGUA